rnacentral:rRNA from 1 species
UACAGAGGUGGCAAGCGUUGUUCGGAAUUACUGGGCGUAAAGGGCGCGUAGGCGGCCAUUUAAGUCAGACGUGAAAUCCCCCGGCUUAACCGGGGCAUUGCGUCUGAUACUGGGUGGCUCGAGUGCGGGAGAGGAAUGCGGAAUUCCAGGUGUAGCGGUGAAAUGCGUAGAUAUCUGGAGGUACACCGGUGGCGAAGGCGGCAUUCUGGACCGACACUGACGCUGAGGCGCGAAAGCCAGGGGAGCAAACGGG